CCUACGGGUGGCAGCAGUGGGGAAUAUUGGGCAAUGGAGGCAACUCUGACCCAGCAACGCCGCGUGAAUGAUGAAGGUCUUCGGAUUGUAAAGUUCUGUGAUGGGGGAUGAACACAAUGACGGUACCCCAAUAGCAAGCCAAGGCUAACUACGUGCCAGCAGCCGCGGUAAUACGUAGGUGGCAAGCGUUAUCCGGAAUGACUGGGGGUAAAGGGUGCGUAGGUGGUUUAGUAAGUUGGCGGUGAAAUUCAGGGGCUCAACCCAGACGCUACCGCCAAAACUAGUAGACUAGAGUGCAGGAGAGGUAAGUGGAAUUCGUAGUGUAGCGGUGAAAUGCGUAGAUAUUAGGAGGAACAUCAGGGGCGAAGGCGACUUACUGGACUGUAACUGACACUGAGGCACGAAAGCGUGGGGAGCAAACAGGAUUAGAUACCCGUGUAGUC
rnacentral:rRNA from 1 species